CAGUAGAAAAUAUUUAGGCCCAGGGAGAGGUGUCUCAUGGAGUGGAUGAAAGAGAACAGGGGCCAGGGGAUUUUGAGGCUUAGUGCCUCAUUCUCCAUUCACAGAACAAGUGAGUUGGCUUAGGUGAGUCUCUGGGGACCCUUGGGCUGAAAGCCACUGAGCAAGGGAUUGAUCCAGACCCACCCUUCAACUGCUGAGCCACACAGCUUAGCCUGUGCAGGACACCUGGCCUCCUAACGGUUUCUUGCCUUGGCAUGCGAACAUUUGGUGUCGCCCUGAAAUCUAGGAGAGGCACCAGAUGCCCAGGUGGGCAGGAAACCAUCAUCAUCAUGGGUUGAUUAGAACCCAUCUGUUUUUUAAAAGGGUAGGAUAUCUGGGCUCUUUAUUUUAAGCAAGCUCUGAUCUUAUGAAAUAAAGAAGUCCAGCUUUUCCCAUGGUGUGUUUGUAGACCACAAGUGCCAUGGGGUGUAAAGAUGUGUUACAGGGAGAAAAUGAAAGUCCAAUGGCCAAGUACAUUUGGGAAACUUUAAAGACCCUUAUCCUGCAGGAGUUCUCAGUCUUUAAUAUGCAGAAGUGCAUUGGGUAUCUGCAAAAUAGUAUGUGUGUGUGAGGGUUGUGAAUGUGAGUGUGUGUGUAGAGGUGGGUACUGUGUGCAGCUUUUUAAGAUUAAUUGAUCAGAGAACAAAUAUAUAUAUAUGUUAUAUAUAUAUGUUAUGUACAUACACACACACACACACGCACACACAUUUAGACACAUACAGAAUAGCUGGAGAAGAGUUCCACAGAAAAACAUUUGGGGAAAUGCUAAGGUUAUCUGAGGUCAAAGCUAAAAAAAUUAAAGUGAAUAAACAGUGACUUAAAACUUAUUUCUGCAUGUUAGUUUCAGCAUGUCAGUUUCUCACAUUUUUUCCCACUUUGUUAGCUUAAUUUCUUUUAUCCUCAGAAGAAAAAUGGCAUGCAAAUGAUCCUUUUCCCUUCCCUACGUGCGGUGCUCAUGGGAGGCAGAAGUAUUGUGUGUGCUCAUUGAGACGAGGGUAACCAAGCUCAUGUGACAAAUCAAUGGUGGGUUUGUAACCCAGAAACCCACAUGUGACAUUGGUGUUUAGGAGCUAAAAAAGAACCUUAUUUUAAAAUGCCACUAAAGACCAAAAACCCUUUUGUCAUGUAUAGCUUUCACACAUAGAGUUGCCAGCACCUGCAUAUACACAGGUGUGUUUGUUACCCCGCAGGGCAGGCUUCUUUAUUGGUCAGUGUGCCUGGUCAGUGGAAAUGGCCGUGGGACAUGGUGGCUGCAGCCUCAGGCUUUGGAGUCUGGCACACAGAGGUCCAGUCUGGGCCCUGCCACCUUCUGGCUAUGUGACCUUGGGCAAGUCAGUUGCGUCUCUGUAAGAUGGUGGUGAUGAUGGUUGAGUGGAGGUGAGGGAUGAAAUGUGCCGAUGCAUGCUCGUUUAAUACUUUGCUCAGUGCCCAGCAGGGUUGCUGGGGAAGGCCCCUAGAAUGUUGCCAGCCACGUUAACAAGGACCUCCCAAACGUCAAGGUGUGAGGCAGUGGGGAGGAAAAAGGAUACCCGAGGGGCCAGGAGAAUCAGCUUGCCAAACCAGGGCUGGCACAGGAGGAGGAGGGCCUGGAGCAUGGGCCGUGUUUGUGAGAGACCGGCGUGGGGUUGGAUGUCAGGUUCCCUGGAUGGUGGUGGCUGGGAUUGCACAUUGGCCUUAGGCAUUUGAGGCAAAGCCCACAGACCCAG
rnacentral:lncRNA from 1 species